AGUUUAGCUAAUGUUGCCCGUACCGUAAACCGACACAGGUGGGUGGGAUGAGUAUUCUAAGGCGCGUGGAAGAACUCUCUUUAAGGAACUCUGCAAAAUAGCACCGUAUCUUCGGUAUAAGGUGUGGUUCGCUUCGUAUUAGGAUUUACUCCGAAAGCGAAGAAACUUACAACAAAGAGUCCCUCCCGACUGUUUACCAAAAACACAGCACUCUGCUAACUCGUAAGAGGAUGUAUAGGGUGUGACGCCUGCCCGGUGCUCGAAGGUUAAUUGAUGGGGUUAGCAUUAGCGAAGCUCUUGAUCGAAGCCCGAGUAAACGGCGGCCGUAACUAUAACGGUCCUAAGGUAGCGAAAUUCCUUGUCGGUUAAAUACCGACCUGCAUGAAUGGCGUAACGAGAUGGGAGCUGUCUCAAAGAGGGAUCCAGUGAAAUUGUAGUGGAGGUGAAAAUUCCUCCUACCCGCGGCAAGACGGAAAGACCCCGUGGACCUUUACUACAGCUUGACACUGCUAUUUGGAUAAGAAUGUGCAGGAUAGGUGGGAGGCUUUGAGUAUAUGACGCCAGUUGUAUAUGAGCCAUUGUUGAGAUACCACUCUUUCUUAUUUGGGUAGCUAACCAGCUUGAGUUAUCCUCAAGUGGGACAAUGUCUGGUGGGUAGUUUGACUGGGGCGGUCGCCUCCCAAAUAAUAACGGAGGCUUACAAAGGUUGGCUCAGAACGGUUGGAAAUCGUUCGUAGAGUAUAAAGGUAUAAGCCAGCUUAACUGCAAGACAUACAAGUCAAGCAGAGACGAAAGUCGGUCUUAGUGAUCCGGUGGUUCUGUGUGGAAGGGCCAUCGCUCAAAGGAUAAAAGGUACCCCGGGGAUAACAGGCUGAUCUCCCCCAAGAGCUCACAUCGACGGGGAGGUUUGGCACCUCGAUGUCGGCUCAUCGCAUCCUGGGGCUGGAGCAGGUCCCAAGGGUAUGGCUGUUCGCCAUUUAAAGCGGUACGCGAGCUGGGUUCAGAACGUCGUGAGACAGUUCGGUCCCUAUCUGCCGUGGGCGUAAGAAGAUUGAAGAGAUUUGACCCUAGUACGAGAGGACCGGGUUGAACAAACCACUGGUGUAGCUGUUGUUCUGCCAAGAGCAUCGCAGCGUAGCUAAGUUUGGAAAGGAUAAACGCUGAAAGCAUCUAAGCGUGAAGCCAACUCUAAGAUGAAUCUUCUCUAAGCUCUCUAGAAGACUACUAGUUUGAUAGGCUGGGUGUGUAAUGGAUGAAAGUCCUUUAGCUGACCAGUACUAAUAGAGCGUUUGGCUUAUCUUUAAUAAAGCAU
rnacentral:rRNA from 1 species